CCCGCACUCACCGGCGCUGGGGGCUCCUCAUCCUCCGCGCGGCGACGGCAGGCCAAGGGGGAGGGGGCCCGCUCCCCGCCGCGCUCCGCGGGCCGGUCCCGGGGCCCCGACGGCUCCGCUGAGAAGGGGGCGAAGGCGGAGAGCUUCUGAACAGAGAGCAGCUUCUGUGGCUCCUUAGGAAGUCAAUGAAGUCUCCAACAACCACCAGCCAUGUAAGCCUAUAAAAGGCCCAGGACCUUACCGAAUGAUGCUGUUACAGUGCCCGCAGAGAGGAGUUCGGCUGCUGGCUGGAAAACGCUCCGCCCUCUGAACUGUUCCCCGGGCUAAUGCAGGGGGCUGGGAAGAAGGUGAAACUGGAGACGGAGUGCUGCUGCACAGGGUACACUGCUUUAACCCUCUGGAUGGAAUAACCCAUCCCUGAAGAGCUUCAAGCUUAUUCAAAACUCUCCUGCUGUGCUUGCUUCUUUUAAGUAAGAUUAGCAAGUCAAUCAUCAAGUGUCCACCAUGCUUUACUGAUAUCUGCUGUGACACAGUAAGCUCAAUCAUGUGUGAUCCUAUGACAGCCACUGAAAAUGUAACACCCACACGAUCCAGAAGCUGCUGGAAUUGGAAGAACUGGAACAUCUGCCUUUGAGGCAGUGGGCAUUUCCAUCUGAAGGAGUUAGAGGUUGUUAUUACCAAACCAUUGCAAAGCUCCAAACCGGGUCAGUGAUGCAGUUACACGGCACAGUGUACCUUUGGUUACUGGAUGAAGCAAGAGGGGCUUUCUGGCCAACACCGGCCUCCCCCUGGCUUGUACCUGCUCCAAGCCUCACAGACCCCUUGGAGGCCACUGGCUGAGCAUUGGCAGUGUUGGCAUCCCUGGUGGAUGACUUAGGAGGAUGCCAAAUACUCGAGGUCACAUACUGGGGCGCAUGCGCGGUACCUGCAGGCCUGGGUGACAGAGAUUACAAGGGUGUUUGUAAAUGAGGCAUUUCCUAGGGAACAGCAGGGGUUUGAGGGACGGACAGAAUUCCAGCCACAGGUGGAGCUGGAGAUCAUAAUGACAAUGGAGAUGAAGUAAUCUUGAUAGUUCGUUGGUUAAUUAUUGCUUAAGACCAGGAAAGGCUUGACAAAUUAAAAAAGGUACCUUGUGUUAAAUCUGGAAAUCAUAUUGCUAUGAAUAUCAAAAUAAGCAGAGCUGUGAUGGUAAUGGAGGUGGAGAAAGGCUGUGGUAUGACAGAUCACACCAGAUUAAGGCAACAUAGGAGGACAAUAACACCAGUCAUAUAUCAGAAAAUGUCCCUGGCAAAAUAAAAUAAUAGUUAAAAGAAAAGGAGAUUUCAGUGAAGCAGCUGCAUAGUCCUUUAAAUGGUUUUACACAAAUGAAACUGCUGGUGAAGUUCUAACAUGCAUCGCUUGUUCUUUACAAUUUAAUUUAUAUUCAGGAAUCAAGGGGUUUAUUUCCUUUCUUUUUUAAUUAUUCAUUUAAAAAUAAAAAUCAAUUUUCCCAACUGUUCAAGUGCCAGUUGCCAUUGCUUGUGUCAUUAUUAACAAAUAUUGCUUGCACUCAGAUAUUAACUCUAUGCAACCUUCGUUCAAAUAUAAGCAGUCUUAAAAAAAAAAAAAACCAAAAUAAAAAGUGGUUGCAUAUCACUGAGGCAGGAAUCAAAAACAAAGAGAAAAGCAGUAGUAUAA